rnacentral:rRNA from 1 species
UACGAAGGGGGCUAGCGUUGUUCGGAUUUACUGGGCGUAAAGCGCACGUAGGCGGAUUCUUAAGUCAGGGGUGAAAUCCCGAGGCUCAACCUCGGAACUGCCUUUGAUACUGGGGAUCUCGAGUUCGGGAGAGGUGAGUGGAAUUGCGAGUGUAGAGGUGAAAUUCGUAGAUAUUCGCAAGAACACCAGUGGCGAAGGCGGCUCACUGGCCCGAUACUGACGCUGAGGUGCGAAAGCGUGGGGAGCAAACAGG